rnacentral:rRNA from 1 species
AGGACGAACGCUGGCGGCGUGCUUAACACAUGCAAGUCGAGCGGUAAGGCUCCUUCGGGGAGUACACGAGCGGCGAACGGGUGAGUAACACGUGAGCAAUCUGCCCUUCUCUUCGGAAUAACCAUUGGAAACGAUGGCUAAUGCCGAAUACGACCUCCUUUCGCAUGAGUCGGAGGUGGAAAGCUCCGGCGGAGAAGGAU